UCCAGUUUGAGGGUGACUUGGAGCAGAGCCCCUACCUACCCUUGACGGACAUGGAGAAAGACUUUGGGAAAGAUCUACUUUAAGACCCUUAAGGGUAAAGAAAGGGUUAUAAGCAGUUGCCUAUUGAACUGUAUUCUCUUCAAAUGGCAAGCUUUCCUACAGUCCGUGAAUGCUGAGAGACACGAAGAGAGUGGUUGCCAGGGUGAAAUGAGAAAGCCCUCCUGCCAGCUUCCACCAAAAACACACGGUGAGGAGAUGGCCAUCUGUGAGCCAGAAGACGCUCACCAGAAUCCAGCCAUGAUGACACCCUGAUCUCAUACUUGCAGACUCCAGAACUGUGAGAAGCUAAUGUCUGUCAUUUAAGCCACAGUCAUUUCGUUACAGUGGCCCAAGCCGACUUACC